rnacentral:rRNA from 1 species
GACGAACGCUGGCGGCGUGCUUAACACAUGCAAGUCGAACGGAAAGGCCCUGCUUUUGUGGGGUGCUCGAGUGGCGAACGGGUGAGUAACACGUGAGUAACCUGCCCUUGACUUUGGGAUAACUUCAGGAAACUGGGGCUAAUACCGGAUAGGAGCUCCUGCGGCAUGGUGGGGGUUGGAAAGUUUCGGCGGUUGGGGAUGGACUCGCGGCUUAUCAGCUUGUUGGGGGGGUAGUGGCUUACCAAGGCUUUGACGGGUAGCCGGCCUGAGAGGGUGACCGGCCACAUUGGGACUGAGAUACGGCCCAGACUCCUACGGGAGGCAGCAGUGGGGAAUAUUGCACAAUGGGCGGAAGCCUGAUGCAGCAACGCCGCGUGCGGGAUGACGGCCUUCGGGUUGUAAACCGCUUUCGCCUGUGACGAAGCGUGAGUGACGGUAAUGGGUAAAGAAGCACCGGCUAACUACGUG